UACGAAGGGGGCGAGCGUUGUUCGGAAUUACUGGGCGUAAAGGGCGCGUAGGCGGCCGAUCAAGUCAGAUGUGAAAGUCCUGGGCUUAACCUGGGGACUGCAUUUGAUACUGAUUGGCUUGAAUGCAGGAGAGGAUAGCGGAAUUCCCAGUGUAGAGGUGAAAUUCGUAGAUAUUGGGAGGAACACCUGUGGCGAAAGCGGCUCACUGGACCACAACUGACGCUGAGGCGCGAAAGCUAGGGGAGCAAACAGG
rnacentral:rRNA from 1 species